UAGGGAAUCUUCGGCAAUGGGGGGAACCCUGACCGAGCAACGCCGCGUGAGUGAAGAAGGUUUUCGGAUCGUAAAGCUCUGUUGUUAAGGAAGAACGAGUGUGAGAAUGGAAAGUUCAUACUGUGACGGUACUUAACCAGAAAGGGACGGCUAACUACGUGCCAGCAGCCGCGGUAAUACGUAGGUCCCGAGCGUUGUCCGGAUUUAUUGGGCGUAAAGCGAGCGCAGGCGGUUAGAUAAGUCUGAAGUUAAAGGCAGUGGCUCAACCAUUGUAGGCUUUGGAAACUGUUUAACUUGAGUGCAGAAGGGGAGAGUGGAAUUCCAUGUGUAGCGGUGAAAUGCGUAGAUAUAUGGAGGAACACCGGUUGCGAAAGCGGCUCUCUGGUCUGUAACUGACGCUGAGGCUCGAAAGCGUGGGGAGCGAACAGG
rnacentral:rRNA from 1 species